rnacentral:rRNA from 1 species
AACGAACGCUGGCGGCAGGCUUAACACAUGCAAGUCGAGCGAGACCUUCGGGUCUAGCGGCGGACGGGUGAGUAACGCGUGGGAACGUGCCCUUCUCUACGGAAUAGCCCCGGGAAACUGGGAGUAAUACCGUAUACCCCCCUUGGGGGACAGAUUGAUCGGAGAAGGAUCGGCCCGCGUUGGAUUAGGUAGUUGGUGGGGUAAUGGCCCACCAAGCCGACGAUCCAUAGCUGGUUUGAGAGGAUGAUCAGCCACACUGGGACUGGGACACGGCCCAGACUCCUACGGGAGGCAGCAGUGGGGAAUCUUAGACAAUGGGGGCAACCCUGAUCUAGCCAUGCCGCGUGAGUGAUGAAGUCCUGAGAGUUGUAAAGCUCUUUCAGCUGCGAAGAUAAUGACGGUACCAGCAGAAUAAGCCCCGGCUAACUCCGUG